rnacentral:rRNA from 1 species
UGCAUGAAGCCGGAAUUGCUAGUAAUGGCAGGUUAGCAUACUGCCGUGAAUACGUUCCCGGGCCUUGUACACACCGCCCGUCACACCAUGAGAGUUGGGAAUACCCGAAGCCUGUGAGCUAACUUAUAGAGGCAGCAGUCGAAGGUAGAAUCAAUGAUUGGGGUGAAGUCGUAACAAGGUAAC